CUUCCCGCAUCCAGUGUAGUCUCUGGAGAAAGAAUGCCUGAGCUUUACCAGCACCACCCAGGAAGCCCAUAAGAAUAUUCCCAUCUAUAUGGAUUCAACUGGAACCACUGUGGAGAGAUGGUACCUGCCUGCAAACGGCACUUUAUCCAGGACACCUGCCUUUACGAGUGACCCCCCAACUUGGGGCCCUGGAUCCAGCAGGGAUCAGAGCUGGCGCAAAGAGUGGGUGCUGAAUGUGCCCCUGUGCAAAGAGGACUGUGAGCAAUGGUGGGAAGAUUGUCGCACCUCCUACACCUGCAAGAGCAAUGGGCACAAGGGCUGGAACUGGACCUCAGUCUAACAAGUGCCAGGUGGCAGCUGCCUGACUACCUUUCCAUCUCUACUUUCUCACACCCACUGCUCUGUGCAGUGAAAUCUGGACUCACUCCUACAGGGUCAGCAACUACAACCGAGGGAGCAGCCGCUGCAUCCAGAUGUGGUUCGACCUGGCCCAGGGCAACCCCAAUGAGGAGGUGGCAAGGUUCUAUGCUGCAGCUCUGAGUGGGGCUGGGCCCUGGGCAGCCUGGCCUCUCCUGCUCAACCUGGCCCUAAUGCUGCUGUGGCUGCUCA
rnacentral:lncRNA from 1 species